GAGUGUUGGAUAAGUGAGACUACUGUAACAACAAACUGGUAAUUCAAAAUGGAAUAUCAUCAAUGUUUUUUAUGCCUUGAAUAUUUCAAAGAGAAAGCUUGAAAUAUACGUAUAACAGUUUUUGCUCUCAGGUUAUUGUUAUCUCACGGCUUCCAGUUUGUUUCUACUUCGGCAGUUCUAUUGAACAUUUUUCUUGGCCAGAUUAAUUCAAAUAAGGUUUGCUUCUACCUUCUUCUGGGGCCCAAGAUUACCCAGUGGAUUUCCACAGUUGAGCAAAGAUUCAAACUCUGGUUUCCUGGAGUCCUAGCCCAACACUCAGACCAUAACACCAUAUCCUCCCAAUGUUUCGCAGAUGGAAAAUAGGAUUCAUAUGGCCAAACAACAACAGAAUAUGGUCAGAUUUCUAAAAGUUAUGAAGUCCCUGGUGGCAUAUGGGUUAAACUCUUGUGCUGGCAGGACUGAUGACUUGAAGGUUGGAGUUGCUGACCUGAAGGUUGCCUGUUCGAAUCCAACUCAGGGAGAGCGUGGAUGAGCUCCCUUUGUCAGCUCCAGUUCUCCAUGCGGGGACAUAAGAGAAGCCUCCUACAGGAUGGUAAAACAUCAAACAUUCAGGCGUCCCCUAGGCAACGUCCUUGCAGACAGCCAAUUAUCUCACACCAGAAGCGACUUGCAGUUUCCCAAGUUGUUCCUGACACACACAAAAAACCAAAAGUUUUCACUGAGGAAGAGCACACAAUUUCUGAGAGGCUGCAGCAGUCUGCUUUUGCCUGACUCUGCAGAGAAGGGCAAUCCUCCUCAUGCUCCCCUCACUGACAUGAUUGAGAGCAAACUACUUUAGCAUUUUGAACUCAGUUUGCAGCAGUUGAAAUUCAAAGUCAAAAACAAAGGUAGGAAAUUAGAGGAAGAAAAAAAUGAAAUUUUAAAAGCAAAUAAAAAAUAAGGAGACAGGUUUAAUAUGAAGGGUCACUGCGAAAUUGUGACAUGCUGUCUCCCAAGUAACGGCGUAGAAUUGCAUCCCUGUUUGCAAAUAUUUUAUUGAAAAGAAUACAACCGUGACUAAAUAAGAACACUUUACAGGGUCCUCUUGCAGGUGGGAAGAAGCAAUGAACAAGGUAUUGCAAUUUAUUUAACUAAUCAGGAUGGAAUAUUAGGCUACAAUCCUAAACAGAAGGGGGCUGAACAAAUAUGCAGAGAAUUAUUUUAGGAUCUGUAUAUAACAGUAAGGUAACAGUGCUCUAUGCAGUCAUGCCGGCCACAAGACUUGGGCCAUCCAACUUUUUAAUUGCAUUUGGAACUAAUUUCAUCACUUUAGUAUGAACUUUGUACAUCCCUGUAAUAUAAGCUAAGAAAUCUGUCAUCACAAACCAAGGUUAACAGGAUUAGAGCACUGUAUCAGGACUUUCUGACUAGCAAGGGUAAGUACAGUAGAUCAUCUUUCCCCACCCUUCAUUGUUCCCUCUUGAUUGCUCAGCUGUAACCCUGAAAGUCGCUGGGAGAUAAAAUGCAUUUUCCCAAUAGCAUUGUAUUGUUGUGAGCUGUCCCUCUUGUAAUGCUAAGUUUCUGGGGACUGUUUCCUCUUGAAAGGGCUAUUAAGACCCAUUCGUUUUACAAAAGGCCUGCUGGCGGUGAUAAAAACUGUUUCCUAAAACUGAUCUUUGCAGAUCCCAGCAUUUUGGGAUUCUCUCAUUGAAGGUGUGGCACUGAAACUGAUGCUACAAGAACAAUUCUGAGUUUACAUUGGUAUUGGAAUAACUAACCAGAUAGAGGAAAGCCAGACAAUAAAGAAAGCUGACAGGAAGGGAGUCUUAUUUAUUUGAAAUGUGCCAUUGAAGAAUUCUACCAAAAAGCUGGC